CACCGAGUAAAAUUUGGCGAAAU
rnacentral:snRNA from 1 species